rnacentral:rRNA from 1 species
AGCGAACGCUGGCGGCAGGCUUAACACAUGCAAGUCGAGCGGGCCUUUCGGGGUCAGCGGCGGACGGGUGAGUAACGCGUGGGAACGUGCCCUCUGGUUCGGAAUAACUCAGGGAAACUUGAGCUAAUACCGGAUACGCCCUUUUGGGGAAAGGCUUGCUGCCGGAGGAUCGGCCCGCGUCUGAUUAGCUAGUUGGUGAGGUAACGGCUCACCAAGGCGACGAUCAGUAGCUGGUCUGAGAGGAUGGUCAGCCACACUGGGACUGAGACACGGCCCAGACUCCUACGGGAGGCAGCAGUGGGGAAUAUUGGACAAUGGGCGCAAGCCUGAUCCAGCCAUGCCGCGUGAGUGAUGAAGGCCUUAGGGUUGUAAAGCUCUUUUAUCCGGGACGAUAAUGACGGUACCGGAGGAAUAAGCCCCGGCUAACUUCGUG